GACGAACGCUGGCGGCGUGCCUAAUACAUGCAAGUAGAACGCACAGUUUAUACCGUAGCUUGCUACACCAUAGACUGUGAGUUGCGAACGGGUGAGUAACGCGUAGGUAACCUGCCUGGUAGCGGGGGAUAACUAUUGGAAACGAUAGCUAAUACCGCAUAAUAUUAAUUAUUGCAUGAUAAUUAAUUGAAAGGUGCAAUUGCACCACUACCAGAUGGACCUGCGUUGUAUUAGCUAGUAGGUGAGGUAACGGCUCACCUAGGCGACGAUACAUAGCCGACCUGAGAGGGUGAUCGGCCACACUGGGACUGAGACACGGCCCAGACGCCUACGGGAGGCAGCAGUAGGGAAUCUUCGGCAAUGGACGAAAGUCUGACCGAGAAACGCCGCGGGAGUGAAGAAGGGUUUCGGAUCGUAAAGCUCGGUUGUAAGAGAAGAACGGGUGUGAGAGUGGAAAGUUCACACUGUGACGGUAGCUUACCAGAAAGGGACGGCUAACUACGUG
rnacentral:rRNA from 1 species